GGUUAGAGAACGACGAUUGUUGGAUAUUGUUGGAUUCAUAGAUGCAAAAACAAAAUCGAUUAAACAGUAAACAUAAGUUUUCAUUGCGUCCCGUUAAGGUGAGCAAACUUUGAAACGUGACAUCACGCAUCGUGCGACGGAAACGUGGCUGGAUAACAUCCACAGGAAACAAGCAGCUAGCGGUUAGCGAUGAUGUCUCUGUCCGAUUACACCAAGACAAAACCCCUGGAAGAUCGCCUUUCGCUCCUGGGGCCGACUCCACGAGGUACAACGACCUGCUGGGGAUGUCGAGGAGACGCUGAGCGAAGUGUUCCUGCGCCGUGUGGAGCUCUGCAAACAACCAUAAGAAAGCCACGGUAUAAAACAUUUAGACUCAAGGCUCCUCUGCUUCAGAUCAUAUGCCUGGCCUGCCGUGGUUAAAUCAGAUAGAUAACCUGUGCUCUUUCAAAGAGAGACAGUGAGCCUCAUCUCGCUAUGAGGAAGGUGGAGACAGAUGCCUCAUUAUCCAUGCCGCAGGGGACAAAACAGGCCCAGCGCUGGAGGACCCCCCCACUGGCGUUUAGUUUCCACAAGGCAGCCACAGAGCGACACGGACGGAGCUCAUCUCUGACCUCAGCAAGCGCAGGUCGCUCGCAGAGUCACAUUAAA